rnacentral:misc_RNA from 1 species
AUCACAAGUUCCUGAAGCCAUUUCUCGUCCAAAAUAAUUAUCACAGCCAUGUCACUUCUACGUACUAUAAAUCAGGCCAUAAUUUUUAUACAAGAUUAUGAUAACCAUACUAUCACUUUAAAAUCAAACUUGUGGUGGCUUGGGGGGACAACAAAAUCUAUAUGUACAUCCAUCAACCAUACUUUUAUUAUGAUCUGCAAUAUUGGCAAGUAAAGUUUUAUCCAAUUAUAUCAGGUUGGCUUUGUAAAUCCUUCUUUGCAGUGAGCUCUGAAAGAAUGACCAUUUCUUCAGUGCAUAUUUAGGAAUGCAACCAUCUUUCUAGUUUGUAUCACAAUUGGCAACUGCCUAGGAGUAGGCCAACAAAACUAGCAGCAGAACACUAACACCUACCUCAAACGAAACAAACAUGGCUCAACAAAACUGACUAUUUCAUAAUAUCACAUCACAAGGCCCUGGUACCAAAUAUCUGCAGAUUUAAAACAGUGCUGUAGCAACCAACACUACAUGCAUCGCAGAGGUCAUUGGCAAUGGUCUGGCACCAAGCUUGCUUCCUAUGUGAACUAGUUCCAAAUGAGCCUG